UUUUUUUUUUUUACAACAAAAGAGCAAAAAGAACCGAUAAAGGAUUUAUAGUCGUGUAGAAUGUAGCUGUAGUAAUGACAGCUUCUCGGAAACUCGUGUAUGGCGGAUAUCGCCCUCGUGUUAAUUAGCCGUGUCUCCGCACAAUGAUAUCGCCAGCCGGUACACACGGACCUGACGGACCGAUGGGAGAGAUAAGGCCGUGACUCACUCCAAGCGGAGCUGCGUUUGCGGUCCACAUAUCCAGAUGCUCGCUGCCUAGUGAUCGUCAAUACAUACCGGAAAGUUUUCGCUCGAAGUUUCCAAGUACAUAGCCUUUCGUCAGAGUGCACCGACUUCGAUGGCGAAGCCGCGCCUACACAACUGCACAGACGAAGAUGGCGAGGUUAACGCUAACAUUGCUGGCAUUGACUAUCGUAUAGUUGUCGUGCAAGUAGACAAGUCGACCAAAGACGAUGCAGUCGCAAUACAAGCUGGAAAACAACGCCAUCAUGGCCAGGAUGCGGACGUGUACUUCGUCAAAGUCAAGAGAUUCCUUGUGGAUGAGAACCUUUUCUGCCAGAAGUUUCGUGGAUGUGUGACGGCUGAUCAGUUUCGUGACAAGUAAUAUGAUCUGGACGCGUUUGGACCAUUCAGCAAGAUACACCCGCGAAAAGGAAAAACACUGGAGCUCACGAUCGUCGUGAAGAACAACGCCCAUUCCAGACAAGAAACUCGUGAUUCGACUCUUCAUGGCGAGGAGACAUGUGACUGCGGAGGCGCUUGCAACUGCCACACUUCCACGUCAAACAAAGAGGAGAACUGUGAUUUUCCAGUGGGUCGCAUCAAAGAUGCUAUUCGAUCAAAACGUACGAUCGCUGACGAUGUGCCGUCUUGAGUGCCAUUCAAAAUGAAUUGAAACCUUUUGCAUGGACCGAGACCGCGCGCAGCAAGAUUCUCCAACACGUCACCUGCACGCUUGAAUCCUCCCACUGCGACCGAUGCCCAGUUCUCGCGCACUGUCCGAAACCGUCCCCAUUGCAACCUGCAUAUUACGUCAAGUACAUGUGAUUGCGGUUCGACUACAUUUGUCCACGAACAAUACAUUCAAUGGCUUAUUCAUAUUGUGCUAGGGUACUGCCAUAUGAUAUUUGUAACACCAUAGUUC